GUCUACGGCCAUACCACUCUGAACAGGCCCUAUCUCGUCUGAUCUCAGAAGCUAAGCAGGGCAGGGCCUGGUUAGUACUUGGAUGGGAGGAAAGAGACCUGCAGCCCUGCUUC
rnacentral:rRNA from 1 species